rnacentral:rRNA from 1 species
UACGAAGGGGGCUAGCGUUGCUCGGAAUCACUGGGCGUAAAGGGUGCGUAGGCGGGUCUUUAAGUCAGGGGUGAAAUCCUGGAGCUCAACUCCAGAACUGCCUUUGAUACUGAGGAUCUUGAGUUCGGGAGAGGUGAGUGGAACUGCGAGUGUAGAGGUGAAAUUCGUAGAUAUUCGCAAGAACACCAGUGGCGAAGGCGGCUCACUGGCCCGGUACUGACGCUGAGGUGCGAAAGCGUGGGGAGCGAACGGG